CCUACGGGAGGCAGCAGUGGGGAAUAUUGGACAAUGGGCGCAAGCCUGAUCCAGCAAUGCCGCGUGAGUGAUGAAGGCCUUAGGGUCGUAAAGCUCUUUUACCAGGGAUGAUAAUGACAGUACCUGGAGAAUAAGCUCCGGCUAACUCCGUGCCAGCAGCCGCGGUAAUACGGAGGGAGCUAGCGUUGUUCGGAAUUACUGGGCGUAAAGCGUACGUAGGCGGUUAUUCAAGUCAGAGGUGAAAGCCCGGGGCUCAACCCCGGAACGGCCUUUGAAACUAGGUAGCUAGAAUCUUGGAGAGGUCAGUGGAAUUCCGAGUGUAGAGGUGAAAUUCGUAGAUAUUCGGAAGAACACCAGUGGCGAAGGCGACUGACUGGACAAGUAUUGACGCUGAGGUACGAAAGCGUGGGGAGCAAACAGGAUUAGAUACCCUGGUAGUCCACGCCGUAAACGAUGAUAACUAGCUGUUCGGGCACUUGGUGCUUGAGUGGCGCNGCUACGCAUUAAGUUAUCCGUCCGUCGGGUAGGUACGGUCGCGAAGAAUUAAACUAACAAACGGAAGUUAGACGGCGUGAGACGUGCCGACGGACGACGACGAGGGAGGUAGG
rnacentral:rRNA from 1 species